rnacentral:rRNA from 1 species
GCACAAGCGGUGGAGCAUGUGGUUUAAUUCGAAGCAACGCGAAGAACCUUACCAAAUCUUGACAUCCUUUGACAACUCUAGAGAUAGAGCUUUCCCCUUCGGGGGACAAAGUGACAGGUGGUGCAUGGUUGUCGUCAGCUCGUGUCGUGAGAUGUUGGGUUAAGUCCCGCAACGAGCGCAACCCUUAAGCUUAGUUGCCAUCAUUAAGUUGGGCACUCUAAGUUGACUGCCGGUGACAAACCGGAGGAAGGUGGGGAUGACGUCAAAUCAUCAUGCCCCUUAUGAUUUGGGCUACACACGUGCUACAAUGGACAAUACAAAGGGCAGCGAAACCGUGAGGUCAAGCAAAUCCCAUAAAGUUGUUCUCAGUUCGGAUUGUAGUCUGCAACUCGACUACAUGAAGCUGGAAUCGCUAGUAAUCGUAGAUCAGCAUGCUACGGUGAAUACGUUCCCGGGUCUUGUACACACCGCCCGUCACACCACGAGAGUUUGUAACACCCGAAGCCGGUGGAGUAACCUUUUAGGAGCUAGCCGUCGAAGGUGGGACAAAUGAUUGGGGUGAAGUCGUAACAAGGUAGCCGUAUCGGAAGGUGCGGCUGGAUCACCUCCUUU